UGCUAAGAGCAGGUGAAAACUAGAAAUAAAUCUAUAUGGGGCCUUAUUUUCUUCAGUAGCUAGCUGCUUUGUGGUGGGGCAUUUAUACCGCUCUUUAUCAGAGCUCUCAGGUGCCAACUGAGUACAAGCCACAAGAGGGAGGAAAUGUCAAGAUUUGGGCAUUCUUACUACAUACGGUUUGUAUUUUUAUCAACAUACUUCAACUGCGGAAAUGCUUACCCUUGAAGAUAAGGAAAACAACCACUCACUUCAUCAGGAAGACAUAUACAAAAUUUCUAUAAAAGCCUUGAACUUUUUGUAGCAGCUUCCUGCAAGCCACAAAUGACAGUUCUACAAUGUAAGGAGAGCAACUGAGAUCUUUCAGCCUUGUUUUGUCGAUAGAUUCCUUUCUGCUCUGUUAACAACCCACUCAAGCCCUCUGACAUGGGGCUAAAAGCCAGGGACAUCACUAUCGGUUAUCAUGGCUGCUUCAGCAUGCGGCGACAUGAGAUUUUUGUGCUGAUUCCCCUGUGGAGGAAACAAGGAAAAGAGAAGCAUAGAGUUCCGAAUUCAUGUACUGUUUCCAUUUCUCAUGAGAUGGUGACCAAUUUUUGUUUCAUUGUGCAACUGAUUGAGUAAUUCUGAAAAACAAAGACACUGGCAAGUUCCAUUGACCUCUAGAAUAAAGGCAUUGCAUUUUGCGGAAAAUCA
rnacentral:lncRNA from 1 species